rnacentral:rRNA from 1 species
CUGGCUCAGAUUGAACGCUGGCGGCAUGCUUUACACAUGCAAGUCGAACGGCAGCACGGGUGCUUGCACCUGGUGGCGAGUGGCGGACGGGUGAGUAAUACAUCGGAACGUAUCCUAAAGUGGGGGAUAACGCAUCGAAAGAUGUGCUAAUACCGCAUACACUCUGAGGAGGAAAGUAGGGGAUCGAAAGACCUUAUGCUUUUGGAGCGGCCGAUGUCUGAUUAGCUAGUUGGUAAGGUAAUGGCUUACCAAGGCAACGAUCGGAGUAGGUUGGUCUGAGAGGACGACCAGCCACACUGGGACUGAGACACGGCCCAGACUCCUACGGGAGGCAGCAGUGGGGAAUUUUGGACAAUGGGCGCAAGCCUGAUCCAGCAAUGCCGCGUGAGUGAAGAAGGCCUGG